ACUUUUAAAGGAUAUAAGAUUAAUCCAUUGGUUUUAGGCACCAAAAAUCUUGGUGCAACUCCAAGUAAAAGUA
rnacentral:tRNA from 1 species